GCUCUUUUUUCAUAAGUAAAUGACACUGAAUGGUGUGGAUUCGAUUCUUUGCUGGGGCAAACUCCGGCUGAAGUUUUAAUGUUGACUCAUACCAUUUCAUCGCCUUUUCGAACUCUUCCAUUGCUACGUAGACAUUCGCCAGUGUGAAAUGAUUAACCACGAAGUGUGGUGCUAUUUCCACUGCCAUGGUAGCCACAAUGAUGGCAUCAUUCCAAAGUCUGGCGUUGUGGAAGAUGUUUGCCAGGCUUAUUAGUGGUACAUCCUUCAUGUGAUGGGGUGCAUAGUGUAAUGCUUGCCGUAAACAAUCAAUCGCCUUCUUUCCUUGGCCUUUCACCCUCCAGUAGAGAGCUGCCAUGCUAGAGAGGACCCAUGAAGUCUGAUUCUUUUCCAGAGCUUUGGCUAUUCGAGUACCAACUUGUUCUAACGACUGUGGUGAGUACUGGUCUUUGCCAAGAUUCUGUAGCACC
rnacentral:lncRNA from 1 species